UACGUAGGCAGCGAGCGUUGUUCGGAGUUACUGGGCGUAAAGGGUGCGUAGGCGGUUGUUUAAGUUUGGUGUGAAAUCUCCCGGCUCAACUGGGAGGGUGCGCCGAAUACUGAAUGACUAGAGUGCGGGAGAGGAGAGUGGAAUUCCUGGUGUAGCGGUGGAAUGCGUAGAGAUCCGGAAGAACACCGGUGGCGAAGGCGGCCUGCUGGGCAGUAGCUGACGCUGAUGCGCGACAGCGUGGGGAGCAAACAGG
rnacentral:rRNA from 1 species